CCGGUGGUUCCGCAUGGAAGGGCCAUCGCUCAACGGAUAAAAGCUACCCCGGGGAUAACAGGCUUAUCUCCCCCAAGAGUCCACAUCGACGGGGAGGUUUGGCACCUCGAUGUCGGCUCAUCGCAUCCUGGGGCUGUAGUCGGUCCCAAGGGUUGGGCUGUUCGCCCAUUAAAGCGGUACGCGAGCUGGGUUCAGAACGUCGUGAGACAGUUCGGUCCCUAUCCGUCGUGGGCGUAGGAAAUUUGAGAGGAGCUGUCCUUAGUACGAGAGGACCGGGAUGGACGCACCGCUGGUGUACCAGUUGUCUUGCCAAAGGCAUCGCUGGGUAGCUAUGUGCGGAAGGGAUAAGUGCUGAAAGCAUCUAAGCAUGAAGCCCCCCUCAAGAUGAGAUUUCCCAUAGCGCAAGCU
rnacentral:rRNA from 1 species